rnacentral:tRNA from 1 species
GCGGGUAUAGUACAAUGGUAGUAUGCAUGCUUCCCAAGCAUGAGACGGGGGUCCGAUUCCCCCUACCCGCU